GGACAACCUACCCUCGGGUCCGGCAUAAUCCUGGGAAACUGGGGAUAAUUCCGGAUAGGUCACAKAAGCUGGAAUGCUCUGUGGCCCAAAGCUCCGGCGCCCGAGGAUGGGUCUGCGGCCUAUCAGGGUUGUAGUGGGUGUAAUGUACCUACUAGCCUACGACGGRUACSGGUUGUGAKAGCAAGAGCCCGGAGAUGGAUUCUGAGACACGAAUCCAGGCCCUACGGUGUGCAGYAUGCGCGAAAACUUUACAAUGCGGGAAACCGUGAUAAGGGAAUCUMGAGUGCCAGCAUAUAAUGUUGGCUGUCCAGAUGCCUAAAAAGCAUCUGUUAGCAAGGGCCGGGCAAGACCGGUGCCASCCCGCCGCGGUAACACCGGCGGCCCGAGUGGUAACCGCUAUUAUUGGGUCUAAAGGGUCUGUAGCCGGCCAGGUAAGUCCCUUGGGAAAUCUGGCAGCUCAACUGUCAGGCUGCUAGGGGAUACUGUUUGGCUUGGGACCGGNAGAGGUGAGAGGUACCUUGGGGGUAGGGGUGAAAUCUUGUGAUCCUCGGGGGACCACCAGUGGCGAAGGCGUCUCACCAGAACGGGUCCGACGGUAAGGGACGAAAGCUAGGGGCACGAACCGGAUUAGAUACCCGGGUAGUCCUAGCCGUAAACGAUGCUCGUUAGGUGUCAGUCACGGUGCGACCGUGAUUGGUGCCGUAGGGAAGCCGUGAAGCGAGCCACCUGGGAAGUAUGGCCGCAAGGCUGAAACUUAA
rnacentral:rRNA from 1 species